UACGUAGGGUGCAAGCGUUGUCCGGAAUUAUUUGGCGUAAAGAGCGUGUAGGCGGCCCGAUUAGUCCGCUGUGAAAGUCCAGGGCUCAACCCUGGAAUGCCGGUGGAUACUGUCGGGCUAGAGUCCGGAAGGGGCGAGUGGAAUUCCUGGUGUAGCGGUGAAAUGCGCAGAUAUCAGGAGGAACACCAAUGGCGAAGGCAGCUCGCUGGGACGUGACUGACGCUGAGACGCGAAAGCGUGGGGAGCAAACAGG
rnacentral:rRNA from 1 species